rnacentral:tRNA from 1 species
GCGAGAGUGGCGGAAUUGGUAGACGCACUGGAUUUAGGUUCCAGCGCCGAAAGGUGUAGGGGUUCGAGUCCCCUCUCUCGCACCA